CAGAAGCCAUAGGCAGUAGAUCCCCUGGAGUUAACAGUGAUACACCGAUGUGGGUGCUGCCAGCCACGUUAGGGUCCUCUGGAAGAACAGCCUGAGCUCUUGGCUGCUGAGCCAUCUCACCAGCUCCAUAACUUUGAUGUCUGGAGCCUCCUGCCUUCCUGCCCUGAGGUCUGCUUCUCUAGACCUGGUUUAACUUUAAUUUUUGAUAGGUAACCUAUAAAUAUUGAUUUGAGCAACUCUAGGACAUUGCCCUAAGGAAGACUCUUUUCUCCUGUGGCAGAGAAACUGUGGAAGAGAAGGCUGCCCACUGGGGGCUCUUAGGCUGGAAGACUUUAAACAUGCACAUCUACCAAACUGCAACCCCCUCUUGAACCCUGCCAAGGCCAGUGUGACCUCCCUGCCUGUAGACCUCACCCACUGGUGGCUGGUCUCACUCCAGCCAGGGUGCUUCAUUUAGGUCUAAUUUUGUUUCUGUUCUGGAGAAACUGCCAGGAAGCAGUGCAGGCAGUGCUGUGAGCCGCGGGCAAGAAGUGGCCUGCAGCGACCCUGUGCCUGCCACCUGGCUUCUUUCCUUUCGUCUCUCUGACGCCCCAGGUGAUGGGAACAGCGUGGAAAGGUACAAUGAAGAAAACUGAGGCUUGUGCUGCUGCCUGCUUUGCACAGGGCCGCUGCUUGACAGCAGGGAGCCGAUGUUGCUCUGUGCGCUGGGUUGACAAAGGCAUGGUGAGCAGGGUUGCAGAUGCAGGAUUGUGUGCGGUCAUAAAGAAUGAGAACGGGGUAUCUGCACAGUGAUGAGGGUGCCUUAAAGAGACUCGACUUCUGCCACGAGACAAGGGGAGCGCGAGCUAAAUGACCAAGCUCUGUGGGCUAGACUGGAACACAGGACAUGGCGAACGUCCGUGAGAUGUUCAGGUCAUUAACCCAGCUUUUUUUGUUUUUUCUCCCAUUUAUAAUUUUUCUUCUUGUUUACCUAAGGCUUCAAUUGACUUGCCAUCUCAUAUCUGGUAAUAUUUUGAAAUUACAGUUAGCCUCCGCCAACUGGGCAUUCAAUUGCAGCAGCAUUUACAAGCGAGGUGCAAAUACGCCUAAUUCCGAAGAGCUGCAGCUUGUGGCUCUCCGUUCAGUUCCGCUUUCACUCAGUUAUGUAAAUCAAGCUGGGGAAGAUGUCCUUUGAUCAACCUGUGGGUUUGCUUACACUUGCUCGAAUAUUAGCUGCCAUCCAUAUGCAGAAGACUGGAGAGGGACAGAGCCUCCCGGCUAAUCCCGGUGGUGGAAAACUGAUGCAGUCUUUGUAUUGGCAGAUCUCUAAGGUCGUGUUGAUGCGUAAGGUUGCACUGUGCACCACCCCCAUGCCUGAGGUAACUCUAGAAAUGGGGUGUUCUUUUAGAGACUGUCGCGGAGACUUCCAUUUUACCAACUGUUUAUGGAGAUGCGGGGAGAGGAUGGAGUGAACUGGGUUGCGGGGGGAUGUAUUUUCUUACCAGACGUGUCCAUUCACCCCUGCCCUCCAGAAACCACGCUGAGGUAUAGCCAUGCUUGGGGUGGGGGUGGGGGAGCUAGGACUGGCUGGAGUGCUUGGAAUAUUAGGUAAUCCAAGAGAAUAGAAACUUCUCUAAAGUGUAGAACUCAACCCUGGGUGCUGAUCAGGGAGCAGAGGAAGCUAGUAAGGCGGCUUCUCUGGGGCCAAGCUCACGGUAGGCCCCAACAAAAGCGUUACCUCAGGAAGAUGCCACACUGCUUUUUGGUGGCAGGAGGGGAGGACUGGGGUUUUGUAGGUUUCUGACUGUACUACGGGUGCAUCCUGAAGGUGAAGAGAAAUUUCCAGGCAUAGACAAAGCCAGCAAAGUCCUUCAUACCAAGACUGACCAGACCUAGAACUGAUUCACACCCCACCCCACCCCUCUAGCCCAUCCCAACCCCAGCCAAAUGAGUCAGGAAGAGUUUUGUGUUUCAGUUGCUGUUGUCACAGUGCCAGCUCAGAAGUGCAGUGAUUGGCUGAGACGAAGAGCUCGACAGUUAAACACAGGCAGCUGGCUGCAUUUUGAUUAAAAUCCACCAUCAAGAGCUCUGGCAAUCUGGACUCCUGUGAUGUCUGAGGCUUUACUCCUUCGUAAAUAGCGCUGGUAGUUGUUCUUCCUUUGCUUUCACUCUGUUUAAGAUUGGCAGAAAUCCUUCCAGGUGAAACACUUUCUGUGUCCGCUUCCAGUCGGCCCUGGGUGGUAGAAACACCAAAGACAGGACUUGUGUGAGCCAUGUCCAGGUGCCUAGCACCCACCUCACCCAUCUCAGAAAAUGGAGGGAUUUAGCCCCAGAAGCAGCCAGGAGCUUCCAGAGGGCUGCAGCAUUUGGUAGCUCUUUGGCUCCAUCUUAUGGACAAAAACUAUAUUGGAAACUGGAGGUGGAUAACAGGUUCCACUGGGCAGGUAAGAUACCGGGGAAACUUGAUUCCUUAUUAUAAAAUCAAAGUCUAAUUAUGACUCGGUUUCUCUCAGUGUGCAUUCAGAAAAUAUCCCAGAGUUCAGAAAGCCAGUGGUGAAUGUGGAAUUCUUACAAUGAUUAAGAUAUAAACUUCCUGUACAUGGCAACUUGAGAACCAUGGCAAGGAGUAUGGUGUAUCCAACUAUUGUUACUAGCAUUUGGGAAGUCUCUCUGUGGUUGCCACAGAGAGAUACAGAGGAAAAUAUGGGUCCCAUUUUGGGGCUUUUAGUCUCCCUAAUAAAAUAAUUUAAGGGGGAGCCAAAGCAGUUGCUCAGUGGCUAAGAGCACUGGGUUAGAUUCCCAGCACAUACAUGAUGGCUCACAAGUGUCUCUAACUCCAAUUCCAAGGGAUCUGACACCCUGUUCUAGCCUCUGUUGGUCAUGAUGAGAAAGUGAAGCAUGUACAUUGAUCCAGCCAAAACACUCAUACUCUCAAAAUAAAAUAGUUUUAAAAACCAAUAAUGGAUGCAAACAGAAGAUUGGAGAGUUUUACUAGAGUUUAAGAGAACAUCCCCUUCAAGCAGGCAAGCUGUAAUCUCAGCAUCUUUAGAGAGAUGGAGACUUGAGGAGAGAAAGGAAAAUCCCACACUGUUUAAGUUAGGAAGGAGGUCAGACAUGCGGUGGACAAGCAAACACAUGGCAGUGAAGGAAGCUUUAGAAAAAAAACUAAGAAAGCCCAUAACACUGAAGAAGCCCAAAGUGGUGGGAGAGCAUCCAUAGUCAUGAGAUAGAAAGGGGAAGUUAACACUUUUUUGAAUAAUUCAGAAAGCAGAUAGACUUACAAAGCUGCAUGGCAGCUUGGAGUGUGGGAUUCUGGAAAGAUCCCCGCCUAUCUUUUCAGCAUGGCUUAUGGUGAACCCAGGUUCCUAGAGGUGAUGUUGCCUUCCUGCAGGGUGGUCUCUUAGCUAGGUAGUUGACACAGGCCAACUGGAAUGUCAGGUCUCUACUCCUUGUGACCAGGAGGAGCUCUCCUCUCAUGGGCUUUGACUGCUUACCUAGAUAAUGUGACUUCUAUUUGCACUUCUGGGAGCUGAGCCUAGGACUGUGAUCAUGCUAAGUAAAUGCUCAACCAUGGAGCCGUGCCCAACCCUGAAUUGUGUUCUCGAAAAUGCUAAGGAACUUGGUGUUACAUGUUUUUGCCACAAAUAUAAAGUGACACAAGGCACCACGUAUGUUAAUUAGCCAGGUUAGUCACUCCACAUUAUGUUCCAGACAGCAGGUACGUUCAGUUUAAUAAAACAAAGAGGAUGGCUGUUUUUCUCAUGAGCCACAAGAAUUAAACACAGAGGAAGUAAAAAAAGAAACUGCCUGAUGGUCUGUCUCAUUUGCAGGUCUGCCUUCCUCAGUUUCGGCAGUUCAUCGCCAUCCUGAUAUUAUCUUAUCUCUUUCAAGAAAGUGAGGUCGUAUUCAAGUAAUUUCAUGAGUGUGUGUUGUAACUACUGUUUAAGCUUUGUACAUGUCUAUAUGUAGGGGAAACCCUAAAUGUAAGGGUACCGUAGCAUUCAAGGUUUUGCACAUCCACUGGGAAUCUUGAACCAUCUGUCCCAUGAGUACACUCUACAGUGUGAAGAAGACACAGAUUUUACAGUUUCAAGUCACUGAAUGUCCUUACGACACUCCCAAGUGUUACAGAAGAGAAAGAAGCCAGAGGUAACUGUGUCCAGCUGCCUUUGUAUCAUGAUGAGGCUGUUUCCCCUAGGGAUGACAUGAACCUCAGCCCUCUUGAUUAGAGAGGCUGUGAACAUGCACAAGACCCCCAGCUCCACAGUCAUGGUGACAGAGUAAACCAGAAGAUACAGUGAAACACAGGGUGUUGUGGACAGUGGGACGAAGGGUUUAUUUUGUCUUGGGAUCUGAAUGUUUAGUUCAUCUUGGCCGGGAAGAUGUAGUGGCAGGACCAUCUCUUGUCUAUGGUGACUGGGGAACAUAGAGCUGCUUGUUCACAUCUUGGUCAAUAAGGAACCAGAGAGCAGUGAAUUCCCACACAUAUCCUACUUCCUCCCAGAGGUAUACUCAACCUCCUGGAUGAUUUUAAACCUAGUGAUGUUGACAAUAACUAACCAUCUCAUUGGUUCUAUGUGUUAGAGUCAAGGCUAUUAAUAUUCAUUAGUUAAAAAAAACUGUGGGCCUCCCUGGAUCCCUACCUGAGAGUCUAACUACUACUUCUGUCUGUUCCCCAGCUGCAUGGAUAUGCUAACAUAAAUAGGAGAUGAAAGAUGGGUUGGAGGAGGCGGGACUCCAAUGAGGCUGCUCUUGUGUGAAUUGUCAUCCAUGUUUGGGUGGAACAUUUUGUUGAUGAAGUUUUGAAUCACCCGAACUCUUAUAAAUGACCUUCCACCAUCUGUGCUUUCCUAGGCACCUCCCUAAGCUCAUUGUUUCUUCACACUGAGCUUGUUUCAUUGGCCUCAGUGCACUAUCUGGGGAAAAUGGACAUUUCCCUGUCUUCCCAGGAAGGGUAACAAAGCACACAGCAUCUCAGCUUGCUUCUUGAGUCUCAUACAUUCCCAGAGGACUUCCAGCUAAAUGAGAGAAUGGACACAACCUUGGCAUGGGGAGGGGGAAGCUCCGGGGUCCCUUGCCCUCUCUCCACGUCUUUAGUUGCAAGUGGGCUAUGGUAUUCUCUGAGUUUCCUUACGAGGCUCAUGCCUGCAAUGGACCCUAUGGUCUGCUGAGUCAUGCAUACACUUCAUCCACAGGCCUUCUUGGAUACACUGAAUCCUUUCGUGGAAGAAGAGAAAUUUCUGACUCCUCUACAGAUGCACAAGGAAAGGGUUUCUCACUGUCUCUGAAUGCAUGCUUUGUCAUCUCUAGCACCUAAAGAUCUGAUUUCCCAAACAUGCCUGGCAGUGCUACCCCCACAUCCAGCGAGGAUGCCGUGGAGGGCAGACAGAUAUCUAAGACACUGGCAGUGGGCUUCUUCAGUCUGUCUUCACCAUCUGCUUUAGUUUCAUUCUGCUGCUGUCAUAUACUAUCCUCCAUAAAAGCAAGUUAGGGGAGAAAGGGUUUGUUUUCAGCCACAGAGCAGAUCACAGUCCAUCACGGCAGAGGAACUGAGGCGAGAGCCUGAAGCACCUAGAUGCAUGCACAAUCAGGAGCAGAGAAGAUGCACCAACACAUGUUUUCUGCUUAGCUUGCUUUCUCUGCUCUUAAACAGUUCAGGAUCCAAGCCAGGGAAUGGUGAUGUCUCCUUUCUCUCAUCAGUCAACACACACAAAAGAUAACCUUCGAAGGCAAACUCAGGAGGAAUAAUCUUGAUAACUCCUUCUUGAGACUCUUCCCAUGUGGCUCUAGACUGUAUCAUAUUGAUAGUUAAAACCAACAAUCACAUUUUCCUUCCCAUGUCCUCUCAGAGGGAAAAGUCAGAGGAGGCUUUUCUCCUUUGUGCAUACCAGAGCCCCCUGAAGCAUCUCCAUUCUUUGUGUAACAGGAAUGUAGAGUUAGGCUUGCCAAGCCUGGCUUAGACACUCACAGAAGUGUCAAAACUAUCCUGUUUCUAGGGAACUCACAAAUGCAUUUUCUUCUAGUUAAAGCUGAAAAUCGACUUUCUUUUCAUGCUUUUCUGAUCUAAUUAUUUAAAUCCUCUUACAAACAAAUGGAGGCUUUUGGCACAGUGGAGGAGAAUGGUACUUUGAAAUGCAAAUUGAAAAGAACAACAUUUUUCAAUAAAUUAGAUAUUGAGAUACAGUGAUAAUGAAGAUUCCAUCUUUAUUCUAUUAUGCUAUUAUUGUUAGUCUUAGGAAGGCAAGCAACUCAUUGUCUGGAUAUAAACUUGGGAAGCCAAGUUUGUUAUCUCUUUUAUGUCCUCCUGAUGGCUUUCCCUGACUUCGCCAAAUUAAUGUUGGCUGAUAUUUGGUUUUACACUAACAAUCUCCUGAAACAGUAAAAUGUGGAACAGGAGGAUGACUCAAAGAUUAAAGUGAUGGCUGCACAAGCACAGGACCCAAGUUUGAAUUCUCCGAGCCUGUGUAAACAGCUGGGGAUGGCAGUGCAUUUUGGUAACCUCAGUGAUGGGAAGGCAGAGACAGGAGGAUCCCAGGGAAUUGCUGGAUGCCAGUCUAGUCGAUGAGAAAGCUCCAGAUCCACAGUGAGACCCUGUUAAAAAAUAGUAAAAUAGUAAAUAGUAUGAUAGAAGGCACUCAGCAUCAACCUCUGACCUCCAUAUGUGUCACGAAUGCAUAGGUGUGCCCAUUUGCACAUACACCAUACCCGUGACUCCCAUACAUAAAUGAAAAUAAAAAAAAGAAAAAUCUGGGGAAGCUGGUGCACUUUGAUUGGGACCUAGUUUCCCACAGCAAAGUGUUGAACCCUUGUGUAGACAGCUCUCCUGCCAGUCAGCCCUUCAGAGAAGCAAUGUUGACCUUUCUGUUGGGUUGCAGACUUGAGACAAGCAGCUGAGGUGCUUAAUUUAACAUACCAAAGCACACCUGGCUUCCAGGUUCUUCCAGCAUCCCUCACUCCCUACUGGAACUUUCCAGUCCAGGAGCUGGGCUUCCUCUUCCCCAGAGGCUCUUUGCUAUAUAAUCCAGAUAUUUUUAUUUUCUUUCUUCUCUCUCUCUCUGCCCCCUCCUUGCACACACGCUUUCUUCCUUCCUCCCCUGCACCCUUCUCUGUCUCCCUGUUUGUAUGGCAACUUCCCUGGCCCCAUUCCAUGGGACUGGCAAACCCACCUGAGAGAGCUGCUCCCAAUAAACCUGCCUUUAUACUUUUAAUUUGGCUUGAAUUGGUUCAUUUUUGUUGGAAGAGAAUACCUAUCACUUUCUAUACAAAAUGGCCUUUGUUGUAUAAUCCUGGUGGUUUGAAUAGGUUUGGCUUCCAUAGACUCAUAUGUUUGAAUACUUGUACCACAGGAAGUGGCACUAUUAGGGGGUGUGGCCUUGCUGGAGGAAGUGCAUCGCUGUGGCCUUGAGGUCUUCUAUGCUCAAGCUAUGGCCAGUGUGGAAGACAGCAGCAGGAGACAGUCUCUUCCUGGUUGCCUUCAGAUCAAGAUGUAGAAUUCUCAUCUCCACCAGCACCAUGUCUGCCUGCAUGCUACCAUGCUUCCCACUGUGAUGAUCGUGGACUAAACCUCUGAAACUGUAAAUCAGCUCCUAUUAGAUGUUUUCUUUUAUAAGAGUUGCUUUGGGGCUGGAGAGAUGGUUUAGUGGUUAAGAGCACUGGCUGUUCUUCUAGAGGUCCUGAGUUCCAUUCCCAGCAACCACAUGGUGGCUCACAAUCAUCUGAUGCCCUCUUCUGGCAUGCAAUUGUAGAUGCAGAUAGAGCACAUGUAAUAAAUAAAUAAAUCCUUAAAAAAAAAAAGAGCUGCAUUGGUCAUACUGUCUCUUCACAUCAAUAAAACCCUAAGACAUCCUGCUAUAAGCUCUCCAAGGGCUACAGUCAAGUUCGCAUUUCCAAGGUGUCUUACAAUAGGCCACUUACCUCUAUAGAUUUGCCUUUCCCUGCCUUCCUCAAGUGCUAACAAGCAAUAUCAGCCCUAACAGGCUCUGUCCCUUCCCAGGCCUUCUCUACCCUUCUUAGCUUACUUGUCUUAGCUUACUUGUUUCUUGUCCCCCAAACUAACUAAGCAACUUCUGUCUUACGUGUGUUUUGUGGGGCCAGUAGUUAGCAUGGUCAAAAAACAAAACAAGCAAACAACAACAACAGCAACAAAAACCCAAAAAACAAAGCAACAGACUUUCCACAGGUUUUAGCCUAUCUAAGACUGGCGGAAAAUUCUAUUCCUCUUCUCAGUGCAGGUGCGCAUGUAGGUGUGCGAUGUAUUUCCGGCUAGGUGGGAAUUCCAGGAGGAGUUUAGCUGCCACCUGCAAUUCUUGCCUUUCAUUGGACAGAGGAGAUCAUCCAUAGCUCCUCUUAGUCCCAUGCCUGCACUGUUUAAACAGGGUUUCAUAGAUUGGGAUGAUGUUUCAGGUUCCAUCAACACAGCAAUCUUCUGUUUCUUCAUGGAGCAUUCUUGUGAUUACAGGUUAUAUCAUCAGGUACCAAGGUGGCUUCUGUUGAUGUCUCAGGGAUGGGAUAACUGUAGACAAGUGAGGGCAGGAGCGUUCUUACCACUGGAUUUCUGACUGGCUGUCCUCUGACGGCCAGCACAAGAAAAACUCUGCAGAAAGAAGUGGCAAUGGUUUAGCUGUGUACAUACAGAACAUCUACAAUCUGACAUGGUGAUGGAAGUUUAAAACAACACACAAGCUAUUGCUCCAUCUUGGUGGUCCAGGAGCUGUGAUGUGCAGGAAGAUGCAGAAUUGACUAAACACAAAAUUUCAGAUAUUGACGUCUGCAGAAGCGCAGGUAUACAGGACAAAGCAGCAGGAUCUAUGAUGAAGGUGAGAGGAAUACGUUUCCUUGUGUCCUGGGGCUGUAGCUCCCUGAAGGGUGACAUCAGUGCAGGAUGGGCUCAGGGCUACAGGGAAGAGAUGGUGUUCUCAGGGACCCAUACAAUGGGACUAUGGCAUUUUUUGAGAGUGUCCAUCAGGGUUGGACAGAAACUCAAAAGCCAUGAAGGUUGGGAAUGUGAAGGAACAGUCUAAGGUCAGGACAGUGACAGCAGGUACCAGGAGGGUGGUAAGCAUGGAAGACUUAGAACAUAGAAGCACAGGGCCCUUCAGCAUUCAAGCUGUCUCGCCAAACAGCCUAGAAAACUUGUGUAAGUGAUUCUGGGGACAGUCAGCUGUGUGGGACUUAAGGAAGUGAUCCUUAAGAUAUGGAGGCUGUCACCAGCCCUGGAGCUGGCCUGCAUUUAUGUUUCACUGUGAAAACAAUGGGACUUCUUGGUCUUCUGGUCUCAGCACAGAAAAAGCAUCCCUGACUGCAGGAAGUCACAGCUCAACAAAACUGACUCAGUAUUGGCUAAGUUCUUGUUGACCAACUUGACCUUGAGCUUUGUAUUUUUUAUCCUCUCCCCAUCUGAGGAAGUGUUAAAAUACAGGCUGUGUGUGAAUGAGAUUAAUGUGGAUAAAUUGGAGAUAAAUCAAAUCAAAACAUUUCUUCCCUCUCUUAUCCUGUGAAAGCAUGACUCGGGUAAUUUGCAAUUAUAUCCAAGAGAGUAUUAGACAAUUAGUGCAAGCAAGCUUAAAUCACGCUUUUUGCGAUCAAAUGCACACAGCCUCCGGAGACCUGCCCAGUGUUGUAUUUCGGUCAGUUUUUACCAUCUUAUGUUAGCGACAAAACACCAUCAAACUUGGAAAUGCAAAAGAAUAGCCAUUUUGUUAUCUUCCUCAGUUCUAGAAGCUGAGAAGCCUGGGGCAUCCACUCAUUUUGGCUUGGCUGCAAUCAUGUGUAUGGGAAUGAGCACCACGGCCUUUUCUCAGUGCUGGCCAUGGCCACGUGGGAUACUGGCUGCCCUGGCUUGGUGAGAUUAACCGGUGGCUGUGGUUUCUAAACGGCCAUUUUAUGUGCAGGUUCCUCACAGAAUGGCAUCUCCAUUCUAACAGAAGGUGUUAAAGAAAGAACCUUUUAUGGAAGUGGUCAGUCUUCCAAAGGCUAGCCUCACCUUUACACCACUUUGUUGGGGGGGCCAGAUGAUUGUAGAAGAAGAGAAAUGCGCUCUUCUCAGCCUGGGAGUGGCAUGCGUGUGCCCAGGCUUUGCUCCCAUAAAGAAAGUGUACCUAGCUUUUUCUUAACUAAGCAUUAUGGCUUUUGAUUAGAAGUCAACAGGUCCAGUAACAGGUAGGAUCCCUGGGUACUGCUUUCUGGUAUGGUUCCUUGGGGAGUCCUGUAAAUUGUAAAGGCAAGCUUUGUGCUGUGUUAGUUACUUGUUUCACUGUUGUGAAAAAAUAACCAACAAAAGGAAUUUAAGGAAGAAUUUAUUUUAGCUCUCCAUGGUUCCCGAGUAUUGCUCACUGUGGUGGGGAAGUGAUGGAGGUGAUGACCGAAUCACAUUCACACUCAGGAAGCCUAAAGAAAUGUGUGCCUGUGCUCAACGCACUUUCUCCUUUUCACUGCCUGGGACCCCAGCCAUGAGCUGGUCCCAUCCACAAGGAGGGUGGGUCUUUCCAGCUCAGUUAGCCUAAUGUAGAGAAUGAGAUCUGUCUCCAUGGUGACCCUAAAUCCCAUCAAGUUGACUUUCAAGAUUCACCAUGCCACCUGCCCUCCCCCACAGUUUUGAGAACACAACACGUGAGAUGAACAAACUAAGGGUAGUAACGGAUCCCACACAGAUGGUUUUCCCUAGUUACUCUGAAAUGCAGCCAGGUGUAUGCUGCCAGUUUCAUUUAUUAAGUUCUAUCAGGUUCUAGUGCUGUCCUGAGAGUGGUUCUUUGCUGGACUUCCAGUUAUCCUUCAUUUUACACAAAAAUACUCCAUGUUCACAGCUAUGUGGUCAUUCCAGCCUCAGUCCUCCCAAGACAAGCCAGAGACUUAGAGAUGCCCUAUCCUUUUCAAUUGUUUUCAUCACCCUGACCUGUCAACAUAGCCCAACGCUGUUACACGACUGCACAGGUCCUAUAAACCAUAUUGUACAAUCCUCUGCACAGGGCAGAUGUUCCUGUGAGGCAGGCACCUGUAUAUGUAGCCUGUGAGUCAGGGUUACAGCACACCUCCCCUAAGAUGCUAAGGUUGGUCCAAGCCACUGUUAUAAAUCAUGCUGAGUCUCAUAACCAGACGUUAUUUGACCUUUUCUCUGAGGCUGCAUUUGUCACGCAACAUCCUGAAGGUAGUGUUUGAAGAUAGCUUUUCUUCUGGAAGCUUUUUUUGGGCUCUCCACAGUUUGAGCAGACUCUUAUGGGCAUUGUUCAUAGCUCUCAUAAUCCUUUCUCUUGCUUCUUCUUUGCUCCUAUAUAGCAAUGCAGCAAUAAAAUUCCAUUACAGGUUUUCUUGUAACCUGUGAGGGUUUUCUUUUCCAAGAUACACCAGGGAGUUGAAUCUCUAGGUUUCAGAGACUCAGAAACCUUUAUGCACAAUUCAUAGCUUCUUGGCCUGACCUGCUUUUCCCCUAAUUGCCAUGGCAACUGGAUGCAGCCAGCUCCUGGGACUUCCCCAGGCUCCUCCCAUUUGGGAAACUUAUAACUUGGCCAGGGAGAGGAAAUGGAACACUGUAGGCAGUGCUCACUGUCUAGGGGGUCAUGGCUAUGAAGGUCAGGAAAUGAGCGCCCUCAGGACAAAACACUGCACCUUGCAGCUCUGCAGCAGGUAAACGGGUGCCAUCUUCUCCAUCCCACACCUGCCCUAGUUGAGCCACUACUUCCCUCGGCAUCCUGAGCUUGCACAGCCCUCCCUCUGCUGGCUGUUCCUCAUCCUGCCUAGCUCUUAAGCAGAGGCUGCAAGGCUCACCGUCCUGCCGCAGCGAAAUAUCUCUGAAGAUUCACAAGUGUGGGCAGAAAGAGUGUGGGAAGGCCUGUGGAUUUGUUAAACAAAGUGACAGGUUAUGAAAUUAACCAACACAAGCCGCUGCCCUUCAUAUAUAUAUGUAUAUGUAUAUAUGUAUGUAUGUAUGUAUGUAUACACACACACACACACACACCAAUGACAAAUGUAUUUGAAAAAUAUCAAGGAAAUAAUUCCAUUCUUUUUUUAUUUUUUUUUUUAAUUAUACUUUAUUUACUUUGUAUCUCUCCUUUAGUUCCCUCCCUCCUCCCCUCCCAAUCCCUCCGUUCCUCCCCCUUCUCCACACACUCCCCUCCCCAAGUCCACUGGUAGGGGAGGGUUUCUUUUUCUUCCUUCUGAUCCUAUUCUGUUAGGUCUCAUCAGGAGUGGCUGCAUUGUCUUCCUCUGUGGCCUAGUAAGGCUGCUCCCCUCUCCGGGGGAGGUGAUCAAAGAGCAGGCCAAUCAGUUCAUGUCAGAAGCAGUCCUUGUUCCCAUUACUAUGGAACCCACUUGAACACUGAACUGCCAUGGGCUACAUCUGUGCAGGGGUUCUAGGUUAUCUCCAUGCAUGGUACUUGGUUGGAGUAUGAGGCUCAGGAAAGACCCCUGUGCUCAAAUUUUUUGGUUCUGUUGCUCUCCUUGUGGACCUCCUAGCCUCUCCAGAUUUAAAUAUUAUUUCCCAGUUCUUUCGUAAGAUUCCCUGCAUUCUGCCCAAAGUUUGGCCAUAAGUCUCAACAUCUGCUUUGAGAGUCUGCAGGGCAGAGCCUUUCAGAGGCCCUCUGUGGGAGGCUCCUAACUUGUUUCCUGUUUUCUUUUUCUUCUGGUGUCCAUCCUCUUUGCCUUUCGGAGUGGGGGUGGAGUAUUUUAGCCAGAGUCUUCCCUCUUCAUUAGUUUCUUUAGGUGUACAGAUUUUAUAGGAUAAACCUACUAAACUCUGUACACCUAAACAAUUCCAUUCUUAACAGUCACAAAUACUACCACCUGGGAAUAAAUUUAACUAAGGAAACAAAAGAUGUCUACAAUGAAAACUUUAAAAUGCUUGAUGAAGGACUGGUGUGAUGGUUUAAUGGUUAAGAGCACUUGUUGCUUUUGUAGAAGACCUAGAUUCAGUUCCCAGAAUCUACAUGGAAGCUCACAACCAUCUGUAACUAUGGUUCCGGGAGAUCCAAUGGCCUCUUCUGACUUGUAAGAGAACCAGUCACUCACUCCGCACAAAUACAUACAUGUAGGCAAAGCAUUCACACACCCCAAAAUGAUAAAACGUCAAAGAAAAUGUUAGAAGAUGAAAAUAUAAAAAAGACCUUCCAUGCUCAUGGAUCAAAAAAACUGAAACUGUGAAAACAGUAAUCCUAACCAAAAAUAUCUACAAAUUCAAUACAGUUCAAAACCAAGCCAAACCAACCAACCAACCAACCAACCAAACAAACAAAAACAACCCAGGGCUAUUCUUCACAGACACAGAAAGAAGCUCUUAAAAUUUUUACAGAGCACAAAAGACUUAGGGUAGUCAUACCAUUCUGAGCACAAAGAAUCCUGUGGGAGCACAUCACCAUUUUGAUUUCAAGCUAUAAUACAGAGACGUGGCAAAAGAAAGCAGUAUGGUACCCAGGCAUAGUGGCAUGCACCUUUAAUUCCAACACUCGGUGGCAAAGGCAGGUGGAUCUCUGUGAAUUGCAGGCCAGCCUGGUCUACAUAGUGAGUUCCAGAACAGUAUACCUCAUAUGUAUCUUUCAUAGUGAGACAUACACUAUGAGAGAUACAUAGUGAGAGCCUGUCUCAAAAUAAAAAAUGAAAGAGAAAGAAAACAGUAUGAUAAUGACACACAAAAAUGAGCAUAUGAACCAAUGGACUAGAACAGAGGCACCAGAUAGAAGUCUAUGCAACUAUAGCUAUCUGAAAUAUACACUGGAGAAAAAAACAGCACCUGCCGAGGAGCAGUUUCGACAGGUCAGGGUAGACUGCAGGGGCUAUAGCUGAUGGUUCCUGGUGACUGGGGGCCAGCACUGCUUGUGACUGGUAGAGACUUUAAACUGUUUGAACUUUUUGAACUCUUUGGGGGCUAACGAGAAAGAAAGAAAGGGGAGGGGAAUCAUGCACACAUACAUGCAUGCACACUUGUGAUGGAUGAAGCAUGAGAAGCUUCAACGAGCACAUUCCAACAAGCUUAAACAAAUCACACACACACACAUACAUACAUACAUACAUACACAAAUACACACAUACACACAUUCACACAUUGGGCGGAUGGGGCAAAGCUUCAACAGCUCCAAUCAUUUUACAAACAUACACAUAUACACAUGUACAUAUCGGGUGGAUGGAGUGACUCCAACAACUUAUUAUUUUUUUCCUCCCACAGCUUAUAUAGGCCAGUAAAAUCUUUCUGAAAAAGAAAAAAAAAAAAAAACCAAAACAAAACAACCAUAAUGUGAUUGCAUUUCUUUUUAUGUGAAAGAUUACAAAGAGUAUACUGUUGUGGAAAUUUUGUUGUCUUUAAAAACUUAGUCAUGUCAUGUAAACAUGUUUUUGUUUCAAUCCCAGGUGUAGGAUAUGGGGCUGAUUCAGAUGGUCCACAGCAGCAAACUAUUUGCUUUGUGCAGGCUCUGAGAGGGGCUCUUUGCCAGCUGCAGAUAGUUUAAAGCUCCAGAGAAUAAAUGCCAGAGCCCAGAGGGAGAGAAAGGGGGCACUAGAAAGAAGGGUGCUGCUGCUGCCCCCUGCUGCUCCUGGUCGAUACUGUUGCAGUUUGACAAGAAGUUGGAGGCAUCCUGAAAUGAAGAUUGGACUUGCUGCAAGGAAUCCAGUGACCCUAACAAGAAGGAAGUAGCUAACGGUAACUAUUCCUUCUCUCCCCACUAACCUUCUUUCUCUCCUACCUAGUGUUGGGGUGUUGGAAGGGAUUGGGAUGGAGCAAGGAAAAAGAGGAAUUAAUAAAAUAGUUUUAAAACUAGCACAAUAGGUGGCACUCAACAUAGUUGGAAAGAAACCAAUUAAAAUAGUUUUUAAAAGGGCACAACAGUAUAUGUAGAAAAAAAAAAAAACACGUUCCCCAAUACCCUUACAUGAUCAUGUUUUGGAUAUUAUGAGUUAAAAACAAAUUAUUCCCAAGAACCCACAAACAUUUGUAACUAAGCAACUUGUUACAGAUUAACAAAGUGUAAGGAAGGUAAUUUUUUUUUCAGCUAGUUUUUCUUGACUGGCAAGGCUGCAGUUUAUGGUUACAAAGAAAGAAUCAAUUAUCUUAAAAAGUAAUCUUACAAAAAUCUUGAAAGACUCACAUAUGUGAAUAUAAAAAACAGCCAGCCAUUUCUACUUUAAAUCCUCAAGGUGCACAUUUACUCAUUAACAAUUUUUAUUAAAUCUUGAGGGCAAAAAUGGAUAUGAGAAAUUAAUCACCUUGAGGAUCAGCUUCAGCGAGAGUGUCACGUCAGCUUGCUUGUCAACCUCAAAAAGUUCCUAGCUCAGCUAUUAAGAGUAUACUUUUCUGAACUUUAAAUUGUUCCUCAAGAUUUUUUUGUAUCAGAGCCACUGACAAAAACAUCUUAACCUAACUUUCUAAAACUGUUUAGAUCAAACCAGUAACUCUGUAAAAAUCAUCAAUUCAUCCCACCUAUAUUAUUUCAUGAACGUUCAUCUUCAUAUUGAUGAGCAGGAAAAUUGCCCAGUGAGUGGGCUGUCACCCAGAAAACAAUCAUACCAGACGAUAGGCAGUGAGGGUCUCCCACACCCAAUCACACCAUGCCAGAUACAUGAGGACGACAGCAAUGACGAACAGGAGAAGGCACAGCAGCGGCAAGAAGCAAUCCUGAGACGAAAGCCCUGAGGCUGCCUCUCCAAGGUCCACCCAUUGCCACUGAGCAAAAGGGUGGACCCGCCCACUGCAGCUUCUUCCUGGCAUCAGCAACAAAUAUGCCGAGAAGACUGGAUAUCAACAUGAAGAAUAAUGAAAGGAGCUUGGGCUGCCUUUUAUAAGUGUCCUGCCAGACACAGAUGUUUCCUACAGCCACAACAGCGCCAAAGCAGCUACAGGUGUUCAACUCCGACCUCACGGACUUCCAACAAGCUGCAGGUGUUCAGCUCUGACCUCACAGACUUCCAACAAGCUGGACCUGCACCUUCCCUCCCAGCCAUGGAUGUUCUUGCAGACCCUGGAAAGCAUCAAAACAGCCAGUUCUUCAUGGACUUGGCCAACAUUUCAGCCUUUUGACCUCCCUACAGCGCCCCCAGUGUCAGCAGGAAGUAGCCAGAAGAGAAUCUACGCCCGUUAUUCACUUGUUGUUAACAAAAGGCUGAAGUGGUGUGCUUCAGGACCAGGACAAGCAGCUCCAGGUUCUCCCAGCGUUUCCCCCGUUCCUACCUGCUGCUGCCUUGCGUGGCUAGCAACUCUCUCUAUUGACAACCCUCUACCCUAAAUUUUCCAGGGCAGAGACUUCUCUUAUUCUUAACCUUACAACCUAAUCAUUUUGUUACUAUAAUUCCUCUCUCUCUCUCAACCUCUUGCAUGACAACCAAGAGCUGCUUCCAAUGAGCCUAAAUUUAUAUACUUUAACUUACCAUAUAAAAGGCAGCCCAAGCUCCCUAUUUUUAAUUAUAGAAAAGGGGAGGAAUGUUGGGAUCAGUAGGCAGGCACUUCUACGGCCAGCUCCAAGGGACCUAACCGGUUAUCAGGCAUUUGUGAAGACACCCUGACCACCUGGAACUACCUGCGCAUGCCCUGGAUUACCCUAUAAGAGAACUGGAGCCCUCCCCCUCUCCUCCUUUCUUUCCCUCUCUCUUCCUUACUCUCUUACCCUUUCUCUCCUCCCCUCUCCCCCCUUCCCCUAAUAAACCUCCCAUGUGGAACUGAAAAAAAAAGAGUUAUCCACGAUCCAGUGGAUCCUUCACACUCAAGCCCAUGUUCAUGGCUCUGAUUAAACCUGGAGAAUCACAAAGCAAAAACAAGACAUGAAAGUGGGUUUGGGGCUUGGUGGAAUAGGAGGAGAAUAAGAAAGAGUGAAGGAAUGAGUGUGACCAGAAUGUAUUGUACAGAUGUAUGGAAUUGUCAAAAAACAAAUUAAUAAAAUAAUUUAAAAAUUAAAGAGCACUUGAGAAAGGCACUGACAUAGACCUCUAAGCUUUAUACCUGAAUGCAUGCUGACCAUACACACAUGAACACACUUGUAUAACGCCCCCACCACACUUCAAGGAGGUGACUACACAUCAGUCCAAUUAGGUAGAAAUCUGGCUUUGGCUUUUAUUUCUGUAACUCUGGUUCUCAAUCUUCCUAAUGCUUCGACAGCUUAAUACAGCUCCUCAUGUUGUGGUGACCCCCAACCAUUAAAUUAUUUUAGUUGCUACUUCA